rnacentral:rRNA from 1 species
GUGAUAAUUUGCCCUUUAAUUGAAGGAUGGAAUGAAUGGUUUGACGUAUAACUUCUUUUUUUAUAUAACUUACUGAAGUUUCUUUUUAAGUGAAAAAGCUUAAAUUUUUAAAAAAGACGAGAAGACCCUGUCGAACUUAAUUAAAAAUAUAAGAAAAUUAUGUUUGAAAAUUUUGUUGGGGCAACACUAAUUAAAUUAACAAUUAGUUUGUGAGCAUAAAUCCUUUUUGAAAGAAAAUGGAAAAAGUUCCCGCAGGGAUAACAGCGUUAUUUCUUAAGAGAUCGUAUUGAGAGAGAAG